rnacentral:rRNA from 1 species
UGCAGUCGUACGAGAACCCUCUAGCUUGCUAGAGAAAGUAAAGUGGCGCACGGGUGAGUAACGCGUGGGUAAUCUACCUCCAAAUCUGGGAUAACCCCACGAAAGUGGUGCUAAUACCGGAUAUGAUCCUCGAAACCCCGGUUUCCUUGAUCAAAGGUGGUCUCUAUAUAUAAGCUACUGUUUGUAGAUGAGCCCGCGUACCAUUAGCUUGUUGGUAGGGUAAUGGCCUACCAAGGCUGCGAUGGUUAGCUGGUCUGAGAGGAUGAUCAGCCACACUGGAACUGACACACGGUCCAGACUCCUACGGGAGGCAGCAGUGAGGAAUUUUGCGCAAUGGGGGAAACCCUGACGCAGCAACGCCGCGUGAGUGAUGAAGGCUUUCGGGUCGUAAAGCUCUGUCAAGUGGGAAGAAUGCGUAUGGUGCUAAUAUCACCAUGCCUUGACGGUACCACUGAAGGAAGCACCGGCUAACUCCGUG